rnacentral:rRNA from 1 species
UACAGAGGGUGCAAGCGUUAAUCGGAAUUACUGGGCGUAAAGCGCGCGUAGGUGGUUUGUUAAGUUGAAUGUGAAAGCCCCGGGCUCAACCUGGGAACUGCAUCCAAAACUGGCAGGCUAGAGUAGGGCAGAGGGUGGUGGAAUUUCCUGUGUAGCGGUGAAAUGCGUAGAUAUAGGAAGGAACACCAGUGGCGAAGGCGACCACCUGGGCUCAUACUGACACUGAGGUGCGAAAGCGUGGGGAGCAAACAGG